rnacentral:rRNA from 1 species
AGCGGUGGAUGAUGUGGUUAAUUCGAUGCAACGCGAAAACCUUACCACCGUUGACAUGUACGGAACCCUUUAGAGAUAGAGGGGUGCUCGAAAGAGAGCCGUAACACAGGUGCUGCAUGGCUGUCGUCAGCUCGUGUCGUGAGAUGUUGGGUUAAGUCCCGCAACGAGCGCAACCCUUGUCAUUAGUUGCUACAUUCAGUUGGGCACUCUAAUGAGACUGCCGGUGACAAGCCGGAGGAAGGUGGGGAUGACGUCAAGUCCUCAUGGCCCUUAUAGGUGGGGCUACACACGUCAUACAAUGGCUGGUACAAAGGGUUGCCAACCCGCGAGGGGGAGCCAAUCCCAUAAAGCCAGUCGUAGUCCGGAUCGUAGUCUGCAACUCGACUACGUGAAGUCGGAAUCGCUAGUAAUCGUGGAUCAGAAUGUCACGGUGAAUACGUUCCCGGGUCUU